GCGUUAUCCGGAUUUAUUGGGUUUAAAGGGUGCGUAGGCGGCCUUGUAAGUCAGGGGUGAAAGACGGUAGCUUAACUAUCGCAGUGCCUUUGAUACUGCAGGGCUUGAAUGGACUAGAGGUAGGCGGAAUGUGACAAGUAGCGGUGAAAUGCAUAGAUAUGUCACAGAACACCAAUUGCGAAGGCAGCUUACUAUGGUUUUAUUGACGCUGAGGCACGAAAGCGUG
rnacentral:rRNA from 1 species